GCCUUCGUGGUGUAGUGGUCAGCACGCUCGACGCGUAACCGAGAGAUCCGUGGUUCGAAUCCCGGCAAGGGCA
rnacentral:tRNA from 1 species